rnacentral:lncRNA from 1 species
GGCCUCCGCAUUAUGUGUCAGAGAAAGUUCAAAUUUCUUAGCGUGGUAACAGAUCCCUUCCUAGUUUAACACCAACCAGACAUUAGGUUUAUCCCAUAAUGUCUUUUUCCUUCCGCUUCACCCUUAUCACACUGUUUGACACCUACCCACCACAUCCAAUGAGCCAUGAAUGUAGCAUGCCCCUUACUACCAUUUCAAUUGUUAAAUUUAUUUGGAAUGGCUUCCCCAAUCUUUUCUUUCUGGUGAUAUCUUUCAAGCCCAAAUUUAAUGUCACAUUCACUGUGAAGCCUUUUAUU